rnacentral:rRNA from 1 species
GUCCACAGCCAUGCCAUCCUGAACGCGCCUGAUCUCAUCUGAUCUUGGAAGCUAAGCAAGGUCAGGCCUGGUUAGUACCUGGAUGGGAGGCCACCUUGGAAUACCAGGUGCUGUAGGCA